AUUGAACGCUGGCGGCAGGCCUAACACAUGCAAGUCGAACGAGUGGCGGACGGGUGAGUAAUGUCUGGGAAACUGCCCGAUGGAGGGGGAUAACUACUGGAAACGGUAGCUAAUACCGCAUACCAUCGGAUGUGCCCAGAUGGGAUUAGCUAGUAGGUGGGGUAACGGGUCACCUAGGCGACGAUCCCUAGCUGGUCUGAGAGGAUGACCAGCCACACUGGAACUGAGACAGGGUCCAUAACCAGCCGCGAGGCAGCAGUGGGGAAUAUUGCAAAAUGGGCGCAAGCUUGAUGCGGCCAUGCCGCGUGUAUGAAGAAGGCCUUAGGGUUGUAAAGUACGUUCAGCGGGGAGGCGUUACCCGCAGAAGAAGCACCGGCUAACUCCGUGCCAGCAGCCGCGGUAAUA
rnacentral:rRNA from 1 species